rnacentral:piRNA from 1 species
UAAGAAAAUGUCUGAACAUGAGUGU